CAGGUGACAUUACAGUGGGAGUCUGCUACAGGCGAUCUGACCAGGAAGACCAAUUGGAUAAGGCCCCUUAUAAUUGGAGCAGUCUCAUGCCCACAAGCCCUGGUCCUCACUGGUGACUUCAACCACUCCAACAACAAAAUUCCAACAAACUCCAACAAAUCCAACAUAUGUUCAAGGGAUAAUACAGGAGGGUAUAUGCAAUCCACGAUGUUCCUGGAAGACACUGAUGUUAACCUCCUUCUCCAAGUGACAGAGAAGCCAACAAGGAGAGGUGCUAUCCUUCACUUUGUUCUCACCAGCAAGGAGGAGACUGGUGGAGAAAGCAAAGCUCAAGGGCAGCUUUGGCUGCAGUGACCAUGAAACAGUGGUCAAGAUUCUUUGGACAGUGAGGAGUGCACAUGAAAAGCUCACUACUCCAGGCUUCAGGAGAGCAGACUUUGGCCUCUUGUGGGACCUGCUUAGGGGAGUACCAUGGGAUUAAUCCCUGGAGUGCAUAUGGGCAUUCCCCUCCCACGAAGUUACCUUCACUGUCUUCUGGAUUCUCUUCUUCAUUAGAUGCUUCAAUGUCUUCAUCCUCCUGAGCUGACACAGUUGAAGCUACACUCUCACACUGUGAUACAUCUCGCUCCUCACGGGGCCUUCGUGAAG
rnacentral:lncRNA from 1 species